UAAAAGGGGGAGUAACGAUCCGGAAACGGGUGCGUAAUACCGCAUAGUUUUCUUGUAUCGCAUGAUUGAGAAAGGAAAGACGGCCUUUGUGCUGUCGCUUAUGGAUGGACCCGCGGCGUAUUAGUUAGUUGGUGAGGUAAUGGCUCACCAAGACGAUGAUACGUAGCCGACCUGAGAGGGUGAUCGGCCACAUUGGGACUGAGACACGGCCCAAACUCCUACGGGAGGCAGCAGUAGGGAAUCUUCCGCAAUGGACGAAAGUCUGACGGAGCAACGCCGCGUGAGUGAAAAGAAGGUUUUCGGAUCGUAAAACUCUGUUGUCAGAGAAGAACAAGUUGGAGAGUAACUGCUCCAGCCUUGACGGUAUCUGACCAGAAAGCCACGGCUAACUACGUGCCAGCCGCGGC
rnacentral:rRNA from 1 species